GAGUUUGAUCCUGGCUCAGGACGAACGCUGGCGGCGUGCUUAACACAUGCAAGUCGAACGAGACGAUUGAAAGCUUGCUUUUGAAAGUCGAGUGGCAAACGGGUGAGUAACGCGUAGACAACCUGCCUUUGAGAUGGGGACAACAGUUCGAAAGGACUGCUAAUACCGAAUGUUGUGUAUUUCCCACAUGGGAGAUACAUUAAAGAUGGCCUCUAUUUAUAAGCUAUCGCUCAAAGAUGGGUCUGCGUCUGAUUAGCUAGUUGGUGGGGUAAUGGCCUACCAAGGCAACGAUCAGUAGCCGGUCUGAGAGGAUGAACGGCCACAUUGGGACUGAGACACGGCCCAGACUCCUACGGGAGGCAGCAGUGGGGAAUCUUCCACAAUGGACGACAGUCUGAUGGAU
rnacentral:rRNA from 1 species